rnacentral:rRNA from 1 species
UACGGGGGGGGCAAGCGUUGUUCGGAAUUACUGGGCGUAAAGGGCUCGUAGGCGGCCAACUAAGUCAGACGUGAAAUCCCCAGGCUCAACCUGGGAACUGCGUCUGAUACUGGUUGGCUUGAAUCCGGGAGAGGGAUGCAGAAUUCCAGGUGUAGCGGUGAAAUGCGUAGAUAUCUGGAGGAACACCGGUGGCGAAGGCGACAUCCUGGACCGGUAUUGACGCUGAGGCGCGAAAGCCAGGGGAGCAAACGGG